AUUGAACGCUGGCGGCAUGCCUUACACAUGCAAGUCGAACGGUAACAGGUCUUCGGAUGCUGACGAGUGGCGAACGGGUGAGUAAUACAUCGGAACGUGCCCGAGAGUGGGGGAUAACGCAGCGAAAGCUGUGCUAAUACCGCAUACGAUCUACGGAUGAAAGCAGGGGAUUCGCAAGGACCUUGCGCUCAUGGAGCGGCCGAUGGCAGAUUAGGUAGUUGGUGGGAUAAAAGCUUACCAAGCCGACGAUCUGUAGCUGGUCUGAGAGGACGACCAGCCACACUGGGACUGAGACACGGCCCAGACUCCUACGGGAGGCAGCAGUGGGGAAUUUUGGACAAUGGGGGCAACCCUGAUCCAGCCAUGCCGCGUGAGUGAAGAAGGCCUUCGGGUUGUAAGCUCUUUCGGCCGGGAAAAAUCGCAUCAGUUAAUACCUGGUGUGGAUGAUGGUACCGGAAUAAGAAGCACCGGCUAACUACGUGCCACG
rnacentral:rRNA from 1 species